rnacentral:rRNA from 1 species
GACGAACGCUGGCGGCGUGCUUAACACAUACAAGUCGGACGGUAAGGCCCUUCGGGGUACACGAGUGGCGAACGGGUGAGUAACACGUGGGUGAUCUGCCCUGCACUUCGGGAUAAGCCUGGGAAACUGGGUCUAAUACCGGAUAGGACCACUGCCUGCAUGGGUGGUGGUGGAAAGCUUUUGCGGUGUGGGAUGGGCCCGCGGCCUAUCAGCUUGUUGGUGGGGUGAUGGCCUACCAAGGCGACGACGGGUAGCCGGCCUGAGAGGGUGACCGGCCACACUGGGACUGAGAUACGGCCCAGACUCCUACGGGAGGCAGCAGUGGGGAAUAUUGCACAAUGGGCGCAAGCCUGAUGCAGCGACGCCGCGUGAGGGAUGACGGCCUUCGGGUUGUAAACCUCUUUCAGCACCGACGAAGCGCAAGUGACGGUAGGUGCAGAAGAAGGACCGGCCAACUACGUGCCAGCCGCCGCAGUAA